UGGGGCUGAAGGCUUGGCUAUGAUUAGCAAGAAACUACCCCACUGAAGAAAAUCCUCCUGUGCUUCAAAGGUGUGAUAUCUACUCUUGGCUGUCAACUUGUCUACAUCUAGAACCAACUAAAGCCUAAGGUGCUAGGUAGUCCCUGAGAAGAUUUUUAAAGUCAAAUUAUAGGAAAAAAAAAGUCUCAUCCUAACUCUGAGUUAUCCCUUCGGGUGACAGUCCCCUAGCCCCAGAAAAGGACUUAGAGGAGAACUUUGCCUUUUGCCUCUUUACUUCACUCACAUUUUAAUGUUUGCCAAUUCUGUUGCUGCUGCUGCUUUUUUUUUUUUUUUUUUUUUUUGAGAAACCCGACAUAGACUGAAGAUCAGCAGCUCUCCUGGAAUCCCCUGAAGACUCCAGCUCCAGACUGAGAUUGCUGAGACUACCAGGCUCCUGAACUGAGUAGCUACCGGAUAUCUUCGUAGUCUUUCCAUUGUGAGACAGAAGAUGUUGGACUCCCCAGAAACAUUUUUAAGCUAGUGUAGCAAAUCUCCUCUUUCACUAACCCAUGUGUGUCCUGUGUGUUUGUGUAUGUGUGUUCAUUCUAUCAUUUCAUUUCCUUUAUAGAAGCCUGAUUAAUACAACAGGGACAAAGAAGCUGUUCAGCUGGGGCUGAACAUCAGCUUUAAUUAAUAAGAAAUCAGCAGUAUUGAAACAAAUGAAAUUAUGCUGCAUUGGGACAAUAACGUCAGUACACAGAAACUGUGGUCAUUUGUGUUGCUUAUAGCACAUUUGGAGCAAUGAACUUGUCUAAGCCUUUUAGAGCUAGAUGAUAACUGAGUUUCAAAUGCUGAAUACUGAGGUAUAGGAGUUGCUGAAUUUUGGGUUUUUUAAAAUCUUACAGUCCCUAUACCCCGUUUUUGUCCUUUUGGAAUAGGAACUGUGUAACUUGUUUUCUUUAUUUUAGAAGAGCCCACAAAUGCGAUACUUUGGCCUUGGACAUUCUGUAGUUGUUUGAGGAUUCCUUACAGACAAAUAGUGUAUUUCGAUCAAGUCUGCUCUCCACUUAACCACUUUCAAUUAUUUUGUUAUCCACACAAGUCUUCCUUUCCAAUUUCAAGUUUUACUUUUUUUGUUUCUAAGUUUUAUUUUUUUAAUUUGAAUCCCCAGAGUCCUUUUAGAGUUGCCAGUACAACCUGCAUAUUGGACCAUCUUGGACUACCUCUUAGUAGCUGCAUAUGUAAUGAAAAACUGAUUCUUUGUCCUCAGCAGUCAUAAGUUACUGACAGCUUCCCAGCUAGUUUAGGGACUUUGUGACUACCUUGCCCUUCCAUGCUUAAAUGAUGUCUGGUUUUAUGUGAGCAUGUUUUGUGUAUGCUGUCAUGCUGCUGUUACUUCAUACGUGCAACUGUGCUGUUAAAUAUGAUUUUUUUUUGUAGCCAUCUUACUACUCCUGGCUCUGGUAAUCCUUUUUUUUUGUUUCCCUUUGAGCAAUGAUUCCUGAGCCUUGGAAAACAGGGUGUGGUACAAAUUUCCAUUUAUGUCUGAACACUCCACAGCCAUCUAUCUCUGAAUAUUGACCAGUUGUCAGUAUCCAUGUUAAUCUCCAUCUACUACAAGAAGAAACUUACUUAAUGAGAGUUGAGUGAUGCACUAAUUGCUCAUUAAGACUUGACUUAAUACUAUAUGUACUUGCCACACUAAUAGUAGAAGCACUUGGGUCUAUGAUGUAUCUUGUGAAAGGAUUUGGCUACAAUCUCCUGAUCCUUUUGCCUCAACUCUGUAGUUCUCACAUUGCAGUCAUGUACCAUCACACCUGACUUGUUUCCUUUCAAAGAAAGAAAGUAAGAACAAGUCUAUACAAUGUUUGGUUCCUGGUGCCCAUAGGUUUCAUCUUGUAUUGUGGCCUCAAGUCUAAUCAGAAAGUGGUUGUUCUUCCUGUAACAUUUAUAAUACUAUUGCAUCAGUGGAGAUACAUAGCCUGUCUAUUCAUUGUUGAAAUAUGCAGGGUUCAUUAUUGGACAAAACUGAUACUUACUUUUCUCCUUCUAGCCCUAUGAAAGCUAGCAAGAUUCUUAGGUAAUAUCUCCUUGUUCUAUGAUUGAAGUACGUGGUGUUUUCAGCAGUAUGGUCUCGCUGUCACCUUCUGGAGCAUAGCCAAAAGCACUGCUAAUAGUCUGUAAUGCUUGAAGGUUUAUGUCAUGACCCCAACCAACAAUUACCCACCCUUCCAAAAUAAUAACCUAUUGCUUGCACUGGGAUUUUUAUUUGAUAGCCUGUGGCAUCUAAGGGGGAUGUUGCCCUCUAUUAUUUGGAAAUGUUUAAACUGAUUUUAUAUAGUGUAUAUUUUGGAAGCUUAUAAAGCAGAAAGUUUCCAUAAGAGUUUCCUCCUCUGUGGUUACCUCAAUCCCUUGUAUUAUUUAAUCGUUUUGGUUUCAUUUUUCUCCAAGAAGCCUUUAUUCUACCUGUAUUCUAUCUACCCUUCCUUAAAGCCAUUCCCACCACUUCUCCAUAGUUUUUUGACCUUUAUGUAUAGCUCAAUUUAAAAAUCAUAUCUAAAGUUUCAAGGUUAGCAUUCACAUAUGAGAAAUAAUGUGAUGUUUAGCUUUGUGUUUCUGGGUUACUUCUCUCAGAAUGACUAUUAUCAGCUCCAUCCAUAUACCUGGUAAUUGCAUACUUUAAACAUAAUUUAUAGAUGAAUAAUAUUUCUUGAUGUAAAUAUACUACAUUUAUUAUUCAUUCAUCUGUCAUUGGAAAAUAACUAGGCUGUUCUCAUUUUAUGGCUGAUGUGAGUGGAGCAAUAAUGAACAGUAUCCUCAUGUUCAUAUAUAGAUUCCAUUGGGUAUAUACCCAAGAGUAGGAUAUCUAGAUCAUAUGGAUCUCUGUUUAUAGCUUUUUGAGAAAACACUUUGUUGAUUUUCAUAUGUACCUUUUGCACUCCCAUUAACAGUUAAUAAAUGUUCUUCUUUCCCUAUAUCCACUCUAGAAUUUUUUUGAUAUUUGAUUCUUAAGUUUUAAAAUAAGUUUAGUAGUUAUUUUGGAAUUUUGUACAAUGCAUUUUAUCAUACUCAUUUCUAUGUCCUUCCAGAGCUACCUUCUCUUCUGAGCCAAUUUUCCCCCUUUUAUUCCUUUUUUAAAGUACAUCAAAUACAAUUGGUAUUCUUAGAUGUGCAGUAUUCUAAACCCUUAAGAACAGAUAUCUUCUCUCCGUAAAGCCAUCAACUGCCUGUAGUUCCUCAGAUGGGAAAGGGCAUAGUGUUUGCCUCCUGUUUCCAUGUUGUGAUUUUGUUUGACUUCAGCUUGCUCAGGUCUUUAUUAUUCUGUAGCCAUUGUAACUAGGGUAUGAUGAUACUUCAAAGUAGUUUUAAUUUGCAUUUUCCUGAUGGCUAAGGAUUUUGAACAAUAAAAAUAUUGCUCAGCCAUUUGAAU
rnacentral:lncRNA from 1 species